GCUUGUUACAACACAAUGAUUAGACUGACAGCUUGGCUUGAGAUCCUAGGAGAAAAAUAAUUGACUAGGGGCUAAGAGACUUGAGGGGAACUAGCCCACUUCUGAUGCUGCAUGACUGAGAAGCAGCCCUCCUCAAGAUAACCAGUCAAGUUUGGCACUCCAGGCCCUGAGCCAUUUUGGUCCACCCUGCUUUGACCCCACCCCUUGUCCACAUCAGCUCCUGUGAAGCCACCCCAGAAGAAAACCACUGUUCGUUCACAUUGGCUGAUUGAUGCUCCAUACGUCCAAACCUUCCAAUCCUCAAGAAACAAGUAUG
rnacentral:lncRNA from 1 species